rnacentral:rRNA from 1 species
UACAGAGGCCUCGAGCGUUAGGCGGAAUCACUGGGCUUAAAGCGUGUGUAGGCGGGUCGUUAAGUGCUUUGUGAAAUCCCCUGGCUCAACCAGGGAACUGCUCGGCAUACUGGCGAUCUUGAGAUACCUAGGGGCAACUGGAACAGACGGUGGAGCGGUGAAAUGCGUAGAGAUGUGGAGGAACACCAGUGGCGAAGGCGACUCUUUGGCCUGUAACUGACGCUGAGGCGCGAAAGCGUGGGGAGCAAACAGG